GAUGAAGAACGCAUCGAAAUGCGAUACGUAAUGUGAAUUGCAGAAUUCAGUGAAUCAUCGAAUCUUUGAACGCACCUUGCGCCCUUUGGCUAUUCCAGAGGGCAUGCCUGUUUGAGUAUCAUGAACACCUCAACUCUCAUGGUUCUGCCAUGAUGAGCUUGGACUUUGGAGGUCUUGCUGGCCCCUGUGGUCAGCUCCUCUCAAAUGGAUCAGCUUGCCAGUGUUUGGUGGCAUCACAGGUGUGAUAACUAUCUACGCUUGUGGUUUUCCACCAGGUAACCUUCAGUGAUGGAGGUUCGCUGGAGCUCAUAAACGUCUCUCCUCAGCGAGGACAGCUUCUUGAACGUUUGAUCUCAAAUCAGGUAGGGCUACCCGCUGAACUUAAGCAUAUCAAUAAGCGGAGGA
rnacentral:misc_RNA from 1 species